UACGGGGGGAGCAAGCGUUGUUCGGAUUUACUGGGCGUAAAGGGCGCGUAGGCGGCCACCGCAAGUCGACUGUGAAAUCUCCGGGCUUAACUCGGAAAGGUCAGCCGAUACUGCGGGGCUAGAGUGCAGAAGGGGCAACUGGAAUUCUCGGUGUAGCGGUGAAAUGCGUAGAUAUCGAGAGGAACACCUGCGGCGAAGGCGGGUUGCCGGGCUGACACUGACGCUGAUUGUGCGAAAGCUAGGGGAGCAAACGGG
rnacentral:rRNA from 1 species